rnacentral:rRNA from 1 species
AUGGAGGCCCCCCCUCGCCGGCCGCCUCCCGCCCGCUCCGACAAGCCGCGCCCUUCCUCCUCGCCCACGCGCCUCCCCUUCCCUUCUUGCUCGCCGCCGCCCAGGUGGGUUCACCGGCGAGGUCCGUGUGCCGCGGGAGUGGCGUGGCCGUCGCUGCUGGCCUCCUCUGCCUCUGCAAGUCUCUUCUCUCAAGUCCGCGCGCCGCCUGAGCGAGCCGACACAAGCAGGAGGGGCAAGUUGAGCAUGGGAUUUUUUCGUUGGUCCAUCCAUUUUUCUUGCUCGGUUGCAAGCCCAUCCUUCGAUUUGUAG